rnacentral:rRNA from 1 species
AUUGAACGCUGGCGGCAGGCCUAACACAUGCAAGUCGAACGAGUGGCGGACGGGUGAGUAAUGUCUGGGAAACUGCCCGAUGGAGGGGGAUAACUACUGGAAACGGUCGCUAAUACCGCAUACCAUCGGAUGUGCCCAGAGGGGAUGAGAUAGUAGGUGGGGUAAAGGUUCACCUAGGCGACCAUCCCGAGCUGGUCUGAGAGGAUGACCAGCCACACUGGAACUGAGACCCGGUCCAGACUCCUACGUGAGGCAGCAGUGGGGAAUAUGGCACAAUGGGCGCAAGCCUGAUGCAGCCAUGCCGCGUGUAUGAAGAAGGCCUUCGGGUUGUAAAGUACUUUCAGCGGGGAGGCGUUACCCGAAGAAGAAGCACCGGCUAACUCCGUGCCAGCCGCCGCGGUAAUAC